GUCACUGGGGCCAGUAAGUGCAAACCUCACCAAACAAAGUAUGUAUAUAUAGAACGCUUUAAACUCUAGUUGAAUCAAAUAUGUAACUAUGGAAAAAUGUUAUCGAUGGAUUUAUAAAUACACUUGAACUAAUGAACUACAAUUAAACUUAAAUACUUAUAUAGAUUAUAGAUGUCCUAAUAAACACUUUGAGAAUAUUGAACCUAACUAUACAUUUGAUACCAAUUAUACCUAGCGAAUAUACAGAAUGAAAUGACUAACAAAUGACUAUGAAUGUGACACGUAUGAUAAUAAGACGAUAUUAUAUCUUCCUAGGAACUCUUAGUAGUUCCUGGGCGUCACUUAUAGGCCCUUUGGGAGGACGACCGUUCCACCAGAAAUGACUGAAGUCCCCAGUGGUAAAUGGAAUCUUCG
rnacentral:lncRNA from 1 species